GAUGAACGCUGGCGGCGUGCCUAACACAUGCAAGUCGAACGGAGUCGUUUUGGAAAUCUCUUCGGAGAUGGAAUUCUCGACUUAGUGGCGGACGGGUGAGUAACGCGUGAGCAAUCUGCCUUUAAGAGGGGGAUAACAGUCGGAAACGGCUGCUAAUACCGCAUAAAGCAUUAAAUUCGCAUGUUUUUGAUGCCAAAGGAGCAAUCCGCUUUUAGAUGAGCUCGCGUCUGAUUAGCUAGUUGGUGGGGUAACGGCCCACCAAGGCGACGAUCAGUAGCCGGACUGAGAGGUUGAACGGCCACAUUGGGACUGAGACACGGCCCAGACUCCUACGGGAGGCAGCAGUGGGGAAUAUUGCGCAAUGGGGGAAACCCUGACGCAGCAACGCCGCGUGAUUGAAGAAGGCCUUCGGGUUGUAAAGAUCUUUAAUCAGGGACGAAACAAAUGACGGUACCUGAAGAAUAAGCUCCGGCUAACUACGUG
rnacentral:rRNA from 1 species